rnacentral:lncRNA from 1 species
CUCUUAGAUAAGCCACUUGAUGGUCGUUAGUAAUAUAUACAACAGCUCAAAAAUCACCACAUAAAGACCAAGACACUCAGAUAGUAAUAGUAAAAAGAAGAUUCAGUCCCUCCUCUUGGAUUCUUAUGAAUAUGAUGACGUUAUAGCAGAACAAAAUCUUAUAUUCUAACUUUCAUAUAUAAAAAUUUUUAACCCAAAGAGGGCAAUGGUCCCUUUGCUCUACCCCUGCACAUCAUAUUCUAAGAAGAUAAUCUUAUCAAGCUUGAAUUAAAUAAAGGGCAUCCUAAGCUACGGAUUCUCAACAAUUUAUCAAGAACAAAAAAUGGCAGAUAAUGCAAAAGCUGAGUGAAACAGAGAACUUACAAGUCGUUUGUGAAGCAAGGAAAACAGGAUCCUCGUAGCCAGGGAACUGCCUUCUUCCUUUAGACGAAACACAGCCCAUUUACUGGAAAAAAAAUAACGGAAUAUGCAAAACCAACAGCUGCCUCCUCUGUUUCACUACAACACAUCGUGAAAACCCAUCUUACCCCUUGCAUUUAACGAACCCAAAAUUCAAAACAACCAUCAAAACACCCUCAGAUUAGUCGACAUAAAAUUCAAAACCAAACUACCGAACAUAAAUCUUGGGUAAAACAUUUUGACUUAGCCUUUUGUUGACCUCAGAAAAUUUAAAAAAAAAAAAAUCGUAUUUCAAACACGAGACAUCUAAAAUUCAAUUGUAAUCAAUAAAAUAAUCAAGGUAUUCAUUCAUACCGACCCAUCUACACUCCUCUCUCUCUCUCUCUCUUUUCUCUCUGUUUUAAAUGAUCCAACAAAUUCUUCGCCCGUUUAUCUCAAAUUUCAGAAAGACUCGGAAGAAAGAUUACACAACUUUUUUUUUUUUAAAGAAACCCAAAUAUAAAAUUGAAAUCCAAGCACGGCCCACAUAAAAAAAUCCAGAGAAUUCGCUAUAAAGCGUAAAGGAAAGAUGAGAGAAAGGGGAAAAGAGACUCACCAGGAAGAAUGGUGUGGCGGAGGAAUCCAAGGAGAAGGGGAGAUAUUGUUAGAGGAGAGGAAAAUGAGGGGAAAUGAUCCUGAAGAAGAGAGAAAACUAUGGGGAAUGGAAUUGGAAAGCGCAAAUUUCGAGAGUGAAAGGAAGUUUAAUUUAAAAGCAGCGGCGGAAGGAAGACAACUUGGAUGAUGAAUGUGAUGUGUAUUAACGCGAAAUUGGAAACGGCAGAACCCUUAAUUGGUAUAUAUAUUGUUUAUUUAAUUUUUUCUUCUUCGUUUUUUUCGUAAUUUAAUUUAAUUGUUUUAUUUCUGGUAUUCCAGGUAAUAAAGCAGAAUCUUUUUCGAAUUGGAUGAUACAAUACAAAUAUAUGUUCACCGCAAAAUAAUUUUGGCCACGUAUGAAAUUUAUUGCAACUGUACUGCACGCCCCUUGUGGUGGAUCCAUGCAUUAUAUUUUAAAUAAAUACAAUUUUCAAAAUUAGCAAAAAU